ensembl:lncRNA
GACAGGCAGGCCUGGGAGCCCAGCCUGGCUGCCAGAGGGAAAGGAGGUGGGUCUCUGUUCCCUCCCUGUGACUCCAGAUGGGAUUCUGUGGCUGUUUCGACCAACAUUUUAUAGGAAGUCAUGCUACAUGACUUCAGCGGCUGUAUCAUGAAAGGCCAGGUUCUGUCUGGUUCUCCUGGCGCGCUCACUCUGGAGGGAGCUGCUGCCAGGUAAGCCUGCCGUGAGACUGUCCAGCUGGCAAGGCCGUGCACAGGUACUCCUGAAGACACCUCUGGCUGAGCUCAGCUGUCCAGUCUUUCAGGUCUGUGUGAAGCUGUCUUGGACCCUCUGGCCUAAUCUGUCGGUCAGCUGAGUCCCACUGAGUGACUACUGAUGAUGCCACAGGGAGCAGAGGAAUUGCCCAGUUGCCCAGCCAAGUCCUGGCUUAAUUCCUGAUCCACAGAAUCUGUGAGAGGAUGGGUGUUCCAAGGGCUGCUUUGUUCUCUGCUGUGUGACCAUCAUCCAGCACAAAGCCUGGCGAACAGUGGGGC